rnacentral:snoRNA from 10 species
UGGAUCAGUGAUGAGAAUGUGUCUUAAACCAACUAUUAUGAUUAUUAUAUUUUGGUGUCCUUGAAGUCCAAU